rnacentral:tRNA from 1 species
GGAGGGUACAGCUCAGUGGUAGAGUACAUGCUUAGCAUGCAUGAGGCCCUGGGCUCAAUCUCCAGCAUCUCCU